rnacentral:snoRNA from 1 species
UUCUGCGGUGAUGAUUCACAAAAUUCAAGCUCAACAGAACAUAUUGUAGGCUUCCGAUUAUUAUUGACGAAGUUUUACAUGCCGAUAUACCCGCUGAACUGAGCAGUU